CGCGAAAACUCCGCAAUGCGCGAAAGCGCGACGGGGUCACCCCGAGUGCCGUCCGCUGAGGGCGGCUUUUGCCUGGUCUAACUAGCCGAGUGAAUAAGGGGAGGGCAAGUCUGGUGUCAGCCGCCGCGGUAAUACCAGCUCCUCGAGUGGUUGGGACGAUUAUUGGGUCUAAAGCGUCCGUAGCCGGCCGGAAAAGUUUUCCGUUAAAUCCAACGAUCCAAUCGUUGGGCUGCGGGGAAUACUCUUCGGCUUGGGGGCGAGGGAGGUCGGCGGUAGUCUCGGGGUAGGGGCGAAAUCCUAUAAUCCCGAGAGGACCACCAGUGGCGAAGGCGGCCGACUAAAGCGCGCCCGACGGUGAGGGACGAAAGCUGGGGGAGCGAACGG
rnacentral:rRNA from 1 species